CGCAAUGGGGGAAACCCGGACGCAGCAACGCCGCGUGAUUGAUGAAGCCCUUCGGGGUGUAAAGAUCUGUCAGUGGGGACGAACGAUGACGGUACCCACAGAGGAAGCACCGGCUAUCUCCGUCCCAGCAGCCGCGGUAAUACGGGGGGUGCAAGCGUUGUCCGGAAUCAUUGGGCGUAAAGAGUUCGUAGGUGGUAUGUUAAGUCUGGUGUCAAAUCCCGAAGCUCAACUUCGGUUCGCCACUGGAUCCUCGCAAACUAGAAUGCGGUAGAGGUAAAGGGAAUUCCUGGUGUAGCGGUGAAAUGCGUAGAUAUCAGGAGGAACAUCGGAGGCGUAAGCGCUUCACUGGCCUGUAAUUGACACUGAGGCACGAAAGCCG
rnacentral:rRNA from 1 species